rnacentral:lncRNA from 1 species
AUUUAUUAUAAUUUUUAAUUUAAAAUUUUAAUUUAUUGUAAUCAAAUUUAAAAAUUUAAUUUAAUUUAUUAAUUAUUGAUAUGUCACUAAUAUUAAAUAAGAAUAACAAUUAAGAUGCUACAUUACUUUUAGGGUCCGUUUGGUUUGAGUUAUGUAAUAUUACAAAGUAUCUCGACAUAUUCAGGUAUUUUGGAUUUUGGCGUGAGAUUACUACUGAUGCUGCAUUAGAGCGUUUGGUUUAAUACAGUAAUGUAAUACUAGAUUACAGUGCUCAUAGCAUUAAUAUGUUUAGUUCAGUUUAUAAAAUUUAAUAAUCCUGACAUAAAAGUAUAAUUUUUUUCAAAAUUGCCCUUAUUGUGGUCAUUUGAAUAUUAUUUUUUACGGAAAUGACGAAUGGAGGGAAGAAGAUUGUGAUGAUUACUUGGGAGGACGACGCAAUAGAAGAUGAUAGGUGUUCGUGCGAGAGAGAGAGAGAGAGAGAGAGAGAGAGAGAGAGAGAGACGUCGAGAGAGAGAGAGAGCGAGAGAAAGCGGCGUGCGAGAGAGAGGGCCGGGGGGAAGGCGAGAGAGAGAUGAAAAUAAUGCUGUUAAUUAGAUUUGGGGUUGUUAGAGGGUAAAAUUGUUAUUUUAUAUAAUAUGUAGUAUUAACGGAUUUCAGUAAUGCAAGAUACACGACCUUCCUCCCGUUAAUAUUUUCGAUGUAAUCCUGCUCGAUUUGUAAUGCUACAUUAACGACUAGAUUACAUAGCGGAUUAACCAAACACAGUUAUCCUGACAGGAUUGCCUGUAAUCCUGCCAGGAUAACUCGAACCAAACGCACUUAUAUUAAUAACUCAUCAAAAUUUAAUUAACUAAAUUAGAUUGCCAGAUUUUAUUAUAACAGUUUAAAAAAUUCAAGUAAAAAAUUA